rnacentral:rRNA from 1 species
AUUGAACGCUGGCGGCAUGCCUUACACAUGCAAGUCGAACGGCAGCACGGGAGCAAUCCUGGUGGCGAGUGGCGAACGGGUGAGUAAUACAUCGGAACGUGCCCAGUAGUGGGGGAUAGCCCGGCGAAAGCCGGAUUAAUACCGCAUACGACCUACAGGUGAAAGUGGGGGAUCGCAAGACCUCAUGCUAUUGGAGCGGCCGAUGUCAGAUUAGGUUGUUGGUGGGGUAAAAGCCUACCAAGCCGACGAUCUGUAGCUGGUCUGAGAGGACGACCAGCCACACUGGGACUGAGACACGGCCCAGACUCCUACGGGAGGCAGCAGUGGGGAAUUUUGGACAAUGGGCGCAAGCCUGAUCCAGCCAUGCCGCGUGCGGGAAGAAGGCCUUCGGGUUGUAAACCGCUUUUGUCAGGGAAGAAACGGUCUGCGUUAAUACCGCGGACUAAUGACGGUACCUGAAGAAUAAGCACCGGCUAACUACGUGC